rnacentral:rRNA from 1 species
AUGCACGCUGGCGGCGUGCCUCAUCCCUGCCAGUCGAGCGCACGGACGAGAAGCUUGCUUUUCUGAUGUUAGCGGCGGACGGGUGAGUAACACGUGGAUAACCUACCUAUAAGACUGGGAUAACUUCGGGAAACCGGAGCUAAUACCGGAUAAUAUUUUGAACCGCAUGGUUCAAAAGUGAAAGACGGUCUUGCUGUCACUUAUAGAUGGAUCCGCGCUGCAUUAGCUAGUUGGUAAGGUAACGGCUUACCAAGGCAACGAUGCAUAGCCGACCUGAGAGGGUGAUCGGCCACACUGGAACUGAGACACGGUCCAGACUCCUACGGGAGGCAGCAGUAGGGAAUCUUCCGCAAUGGGCGAAAGCCUGACGGAGCAACGCCGCGUGAGUGAUGAAGGUCUUCGGAUCGUAAAACUCUGUUAUUAGGGAAGAACAUAUGUGUAAGUAACUGUGCACAUCUUGACGGUACCUAAUCAGAAAGCCACGGCUAACUACGUG